GUCUAUAGCCAUGCCACCCUGAACGCGCCAAACUCAUCUAUUCUUGGAAGCUAAGCAGGGUCGGGCCUGGUUAGUACUUGGAUGGGAGACCAGCUAGGAAUACUGGGUGCUGUAGGCG
rnacentral:rRNA from 1 species